rnacentral:lncRNA from 1 species
GACUCGGGAACUCUCCUUUUUACCUGCGGGGACGACUCGGCGUACAGUGGGGACGUCUCGCGCAUAUCUCUUGAAAACUGCCUUUCUGCCGCCACUGAGAGAGUCGACUCCGCUAACGCGGGGACGACUCGGCAGGUGCCGGGGACGUCUCCAAGUGUGCCAGUUCUUCCUGUUUGUGCCAGAGACGUCUCUGAAACUAUCAGGAGACGUCUCGGCUGUCCCUGAACUUUUUCAUUAACUCAAAAUGUUCUUCAAUGAAUUCAUAAAAAUUGUGGGAACUUGCCUAGACAUUUCUCAACAAUAUUCUAGAUAAAACACAUGAAUUCCUUAAUUAAAUUGUUAAGAUAUAAUGGAAUUAUGCUCU